rnacentral:lncRNA from 1 species
UUGCACUUCUUACAUGGGAAAAUAACCGCAUUAAAGAUGCGGUAGACGAAAAGGCAAAGAUAUGCUUUGAUCAGACGAUUGCAGAUGCAAGUUUCAAUGUCGACGCCAAGUUGCUUGGAUAAGUAUUAUAUAUUUUAUUUGGUUGAAGACUUUUUGCGUCGCGAUAGAGUUUCUGCUGGCGCAUUAUGUUUUUUUUGUUUUUUUUUGCUAUUAGACAUAAUGAUAUAUGUCGUUCGAUAAGAAAAUAUUUUUGUGGCAACUUAGACCGCAAUAAUAUAAUAUGACAAUAUGUCGUAUUUGACUAUGAUUAAUUAUAUUUUGAAGGUAUUUUCCAGAGCUUAUUUUUUUUUAAAUGUUUGUGUAUUUAGUUUGAGCAUAACAGUUAUAUCAUUUGUGGUAUAGGUGUUUGAAGUUAUGUACAUGAGGUUUCCAUUUUUUAUUUU